rnacentral:rRNA from 1 species
UACGGAGGGGGCUAGCGUUGUUCGGAAUUACUGGGCGUAAAGCGCGCGUAGGCGGCUUUGCAAGUCGGGUGUGAAAUCCCCAGGCUUAACCUGGGAACUGCAUCCGAGACUGCAUUGCUAGAGUAUGGGAGAGGGAAGUGGAAUUUCCGGUGUAGCGGUGAAAUGCGUAGAUAUCGGAAGGAACAUCAGUGGCGAAAGCGACUUCCUGGACCAAUACUGACGCUCAUGUGCGAAAGCGUGGGGAGCAAACAGG